UUAGUUGAUUCUAUGGAUUUUAGUGUCAAUAUGGAGCAAACUAAAACUGAAGCAUCUUUGUUGCAUGAAAAUAAUGUGGAGAGUUUAGAAGGAAUAAGUAGCCACUUCGGUGAAAAAGAAAAUGAUGAAGAUACUUACAGGCAUUUUGUUGGAGAGGAGAUGAGAGAUCAUGAAAACGAACCCUCCAUGGCUAGAGACGAGGCAUCAAAUGAAUGUGAAUUUGGUUACUCUCCAUCUUCAGCAGGUUCCAUCGAUUUGCAAUUUAAUACGUACCUUACUGAGGCUAAUUUUCUAGUUAAAGAAGCAAAGGACUGUUUAAGGAGGCAAGAUAGUGAGAGGCAUGCUGAGAACGCGUUUUACGAGUCUGCCAUAUUGCUCUCAAAAGCUAUAGAUAUCCGGCCCAUGAGUUUAUUGGCUGUGGGACAUUUAGGAAAUACUUACCUUCUUCAUGGAGAACUUAAGUUAAGGAUCAGUCGUGAUUUGAGAGCUUUACUAACUGAUUCUGUAUCGGUCAAUAAACGGACUAAAAUACGUGAUGCGCUAGAUGAUACAGUUCCAAGGAAAGACAAACACCAUCUUAUCUUGUAAAUGUCUGUGAAGAGUGUGAAGAAUUACUCAUUAAGGCAGGAAGACAGUAUAGAUUGGCCUUGUCGAUUGAUGGGAAUGAUGUGAGAGCCUUAUAUAAUUGGGGGAUUGCUCUCUCAUUGCGUGCACAGUUGAUUGCAGACAUUGGACCUGGCGCUGCACGUGAUGCUGACAAAGUUUUCUUGGCUGCAAUUGAUAAGUUUGAUGCUAUGAUGUCCAGAGGAAAUGUAUAUGCACCUGAUGCUCUUUUCAGAUGGGCCACAGCAUUGCAGCACAGAUCUCGCCUGCGGCCUAGAACUAGUAGAGAGAAGGUGAAGUUAUUGCAGCAGGCUCAAAGGUUAUACAAAGAUGCCCUUCAUAUGGACUCCGAUAACCUUCAAGCACAAAAGGCCUUGUCAUCCUGCAUAUCUGAGCUCAAGUACUGGUAUAGAUAGUCAUAUGAUGAAUGAAAGUUAUCCUUCGUUUUGACCGUUUGAUAAUUUUAAGCCCUUGCAUAAGCCAAGCUUACACAUCUAGCAUUACUGUAUAUUUGAGAUAAUAAGCAGGGAGCUAUUUCUUUUCCUCAAAAAUUGUUGCUUCCUACAUACAAAUUUCUCAGUCAUCUGUCAAUAAUAGACAAAAUCAGAAUGAAAACUCAGGCUGCUGUUUCUUGAUUAGUAAAUCAGUCAAUUGUACUUUCUAUCCUUUAAUUUACUCCAAUUAUAUCUAAAGUUGGAAAGGAAA